rnacentral:rRNA from 1 species
UACGUAGGGCGCAAGCGUUGUCCGGAAUUAUUGGGCGUAAAGAGCUCGUAGGCGGCUUGUCACGUCGGGGUGUGAAAGCCCGGGGCUUAACCCCGGGUCUGCAUCCGAUACGGGCAGGCUAGAGUGUGGUAGGGGAGAUCGGAAUUCCUGGUGUAGCGGUGAAUGCGCAGAUAUCAGGAGGAACACCGGUGGCGAAGGCGGAUCUCUGGGCCAUUACUGACGCUGAGGAGCGAAAGCGUGGGGAGCGAACAGG